GACGAACGCUGGCGGCGUGCCUAAUACAUGCAAGUAGAACGCACAGUUUAUACCGUAGCUUGCUACACCAUAGACUGUGAGUUGCGAACGGAUGAGUAACGCGUAGGUAACCUGCCUGGUAGCGGGGGAUAACUAUUGGAAACGAUAGCUAAUACCGCAUAAUAUUAAUUAUUGCAUGAUAAUUAAUUGAAAUGUGCAAUUGCACCACUACCAGAUGGACCUGCGUUGUAUUAGCUAGUAGGUGAGGUAACGGCUCACCUAGGCGACGAUACAUAGCCGACCUGAGAGGGUGAUCAGCCACACGGGGAAUGAGACACAGCCCAGACUCCUAAGGGAGGCAGCAGUAGGGAAUCUUCGGCAAUGGACGAAAGGCUGAUCGAGCAAAGCCGCGAGAGUGAAGAAGGUUUUCGGAUCGUAAAGCUAUGUUGUAAGAGAAGAACGGGUGUGAGAGUGGAAAGUUCACACUGUGACGGUAUCUUACCAGAAAGGGACGGCUAACUACGUG
rnacentral:rRNA from 1 species